rnacentral:lncRNA from 1 species
UUCAAUUUCUGCCUCUCUUCUUCAGACUGUUCCUAGAACUUGAGUGUGUCCUGUCUUAUGAGAGGUCUUUGCUCUUCAGGACCGAGGAAGCUGUGAAUGAUGGGAGCUUCUUGGCCUAAUGAUCCUUUGGGAGUCAGCUCAGUGAGGACGGGUGCUCUGACACCCCUGACAAGGAAAAGAUGUUAUAAGCAAACUUUCAUCUAGUGCUAACUCAGCACACCAUCUGACAGUUUCAAAGAAGUUCUUCGACAGCAAUGGCCUAUGUCCUAGGCUCAAGCCCUGGGAACAUCUUGCAUUGUGUUGUACACCUUUCAUCAGUUCAGGAGAAGAACUGCCAGUCUCUCAGAAGAGUCAUCUCCAUCCUUCCUUGGACAGACAGGCAAUCAAUUACUUGGCAAUGAGGAAUCCUAUCAGAGGAGAAGACUGCGGGACCCACCUUUUACAGUACUCUAAUCGUGAGAAAUCUAAACCAAGAGCUGGAUUCAGAUCUCUUUCCAAUUUGAGAGAAUUUGAACUCCAUUCCCUCAUCUCAUGGCUGUCCCAAAUGCUAGAAGAAGGAAGUACUCUCCAUCCUUUCUCUUGAAGACAGCCCAUCAUGCAGAAAACCCUUGGAGACUCUUUGUUCCUAUGAGAAACAUAAAAAAGGGAACUACAAGCCAGUGACACAGAGGUGAGGGCACCUAGCAGGCAGGGAGAAGACUGGGUCAUGUUCCUGCCUCCUCAGCCUGUUUUCUAAUUCUUAAUCCAGUGACCGCUCAGUGUGAAGUACAGGAAAGUCCCAGAGCAGGGCUGAGAACUGAUGACUCACUCUCCAGAUGACAACCUCCUCUACUCCUGUUUUGGUUUCUUUUCCUUAUUUGGCAUACUGGUUCUGGAGUGUUUCUCUGCACCAUGUCAGCUUCAAAAGGAGAGGCAGAAAUUGCUACCACUUUGCACAAGAACUGGAGCUUCUGGCCUUGUUAAC